GACGAACGCUGGCGGCGUGCUUAACACAUGCAAGUCGAACGGAAAGGCCCUGCUUUUGUGGGGUGCUCGAGUGGCGAACGGGUGAGUAACACGUGAGUAACCUGCCCUUGACUUUGGGAUAACUUCAGGAAACUGGGGCUAAUACCGGAUAGGAGCUCCUGCUGCAUGGUGGGGGUUGGAAAGUUUCGGCGGUUGGGGAUGGACUCGCGGCUUAUCAGCUUGUUGGUGGGGUAGUGGCUUACCAAGGCUUUGACGGGUAGCCGGCCUGAGAGGGUGACCGGGCACAUUGGGACUGAGAGACGGCGCAGACUCCUACGGGAGGCAGCAGGGGGGAAUAUUGCACAAUGGGCGGAAGCCGGAUGCAGAAACGCCGCGUGCGGGAUGACGGCCUUCGGGUUGUAAACCGCUUUCGCCUGUGACGAAGCGUGAGUGACGGUAAUGGGUAAAGAAGCACCGGCUAACUACGUG
rnacentral:rRNA from 1 species